rnacentral:tRNA from 1 species
AAGUAAGAAGCAAUAAUUGCACUCAGUUUCGACCUGAACUUAGAUAAUCAAUAUAUCCUUACUAA